GGCUAUUCCUGCUUUGCCCGGAGCCUGAAGUUUGGCCCCAGGCUGCCAGUUCAAUUCUCCAGGGCUGGAGACGUCCCUUGAAUGAGGUCUUUCCACUUGCACAUUUGCCAGGAGAAUCUGCACAGGCUCAGUACACAGCGCAGCUAGUCAAGGUCCGCUGCGUGCUGGCCUUAGCGAGGUGUCCGAACCCCCGCAACAGGGAUUCUGUCAGGGAACCGUCGCUGUUUCUCAGAAGUAAAGGAAGAGGCUUCUUAAGAGCAAGGACCCAAUCCGUUUCUCCGGGCCUUUCGUCUCGCCCCAGGGCACAGAACGUCCAGGAUGCGCCUUCCUCUUUUCUGGCUCCGGGCCUCUCCUUUCACGCAGCUCCUGCGCGUACCUCAGACAAGAUGGCACCGGAGGGCACCGCUUACACCAAGAAACUGAACAGAACUAGGGAUGCGUGUGGCAUCUGGGAGCUGUUAGAGCAGUGCUUGGAUGGGCUGGAGGACACUUCUAUCUUAACAUCCCAAGCAUGCCCAGAAGUACCUUUGUCUCCUGCCACGAUUCUGAGGCCUCCCCAGCCAUGUGGAACUGUAAGUCUAAUUAAACCUCUUUUUCUUCUCAGUCUGGGAUAUGUCUUUAUCAACCGCAUGAAAACAGAUUAAUACAUAAAGUUCAUAUGAAGUCCUAUCAAAUGUCAUAUAUAGAGUCUGUGGUAUAGGGAUAGGUAACUUUAAGUAAUUUGAACUGGGGAUUGGGAGGAAAGUUAGAUGUAUUAGGUAGCUAUUGCUGCAAUCAUGCUGCAUAACAAAUCAUUCCCAAAAGUCAGUGGCUUACAACAGUUAGCCUAUAAUUUUCUCACUUAUGGGUCUGUAAUUGAAGGGUCAAUGCUGGGCUCAACUGGGAUUGGCUGGGGUCAACUUCAGAGGCUAUAGAUUGGGUUCAGGUCUUUUCUAUAUUCUCCUCAUUUAGGAACCAGGAGCUAACUGGGGAAUAGUCAUCUCUUGGCAGAUGGCAGAAGUUCAAGAGGAAUGAGUGGAAACUUAUCAUGUCACUUAAGACCUCAUCUUUGUGCUGUCAUAUCAUAACUUCUGCUAAUGACACAUGGGUCAAAACAAUUAAUAUGGCCAAGACCAACCUUAAUAUGACGGGGAGUGUGCUCUGCCCACAGAAGGAGGCAUUGCAAGGUUACAUUCAAAGGUGUGAAAUAUAGGAGAAUGCAGAAGUAAGAGCAACAAUUCAACCUAUCAUAUGUCCACAUAAAGCUAUAUAUGCAACAUUACUCAUAAUAGCCACAAACUGAACAGUGCAAAUGUCCAUUAAUCAGAGAACAGAUAACCAAAAUAUGGUAUAUCAGUAGAAUAGAAUUCUAUUCAGCAAUAAUAAGAAAUGGAGUUGUGAAUCAUUCUUCAAUGUAGAUAAACUUCAAAGAUGUUAAGCAAAAGCAAGAACAAAAGGCUGCAUAUUAUAUGAUUCCAUUUAUAUGAUAUGUCUAGAAAAAAGAAAUCUAUAGAUAGAAAAUAGAUGAGUGGUUGCCUGGAGCUGGGGUUGGGGAUAGGGAGUGACUGCAAAUAGAUGGAGG
rnacentral:lncRNA from 1 species